GGAGGCCACUGCUAUGGGGGUCCGACUAAGCCAUGCGAGUCAUGGGGCGCCUUGUGCGCACCGGCGGACGGCUCAGUAACACGUCGGUAACCUACCCUCGGGAGGGGGAUAACCCCGGGAAACUGGGGCUAAUCCCCCAUAGGCCUGAGGUACUGGAAGGUCCUCAGGUCGAAAGGGGCUUUGCCCGCCCGAGGAUGGGCCGGCGGCCGAUUAGGUAGUUGGUGGGGUAACGGCCCACCAAGCCGAAGAUCGGUACGGGCCAUGAGAGUGGGAGCCCGGAGAUGGACACUGAGACACGGGUCCAGGCCCUACGGGGCGCAGCAGGCGCGAAACCUCCGCAAUGCGGGCAACCGCGACGGGGGGACCCCCAGUGCCGUGGCAACGCCACGGCUUUUCCGGAGUGUAAAAAGCUCCGGGAAUAAGGGCUGGGCAAGGCCGGUGGCAGCCGCCGCGGUAAUACCGGCGGCCCGAGUGGUGGCCGCUAUUAUUGGGCCUAAAGCGUCCGUAGCCGGGCCUGUAAGUCCCUGGCGAAAUCCCACGGCUCAACCGUGGGGCUUGCUGGGGAUACUGCAGGCCUUGGGACCGGGAGAGGCCGGGGGUACUCCUGGGGUAGGGGUGAAAUCCUAUAAUCCCAGGAGGACCGCCAGUGGCGAAGGCGCCCGGCUGGAACGGGUCCGACGGUGAGGGACGAAGCCAGGGGAGCGAACCGGAUUAGAUACCCGGGUAGUCCUGGCUGUAAAGGAUGCGGGCUAGUGUCGGGCGAGCUCCGAGCUCGCCCGGUGCCGCAGGGAAGCCGUUAAGCCCGCCGCCUGGGGAGUACGGCCGCAAGCUGAAACUUAAAGGAAUUGGCGGGGGAGCACUACAAGGGGUGGAGCGUGCGGUUUAAUUGGAUUCAACGCCGGGAACCUCACCGGGGGCGACGGCAGGAUGAAGGCCAGGCUGAAGGUCUUGCCGGACACGCCGAGAGGAGGUGCAAUGGCCGCCGUCAGCUCGUACCGUGAGGCGUCACUUAAGUGUGGUAACGAGCGAGACCCGCGCCCCCAGUUGCCAGUCCUCCCCGCUGGGAGAGGAGGCACUCUGGGGGGACCGCCGGCGAUAAGCCGGAGGAAGGAGCGGGCGACGGUAGGUCAGUAUGCCCCGAAACCCCCGGGCUACACGCGCGCUACAAUGGGCGGGACAAUGGGAUCCGACCCCGAAAGGGGAAGGGAAUCCCCUAAACCCGCCCCCAGUUCGGAUCGCGGGCUGCAACUCGCCCGCGUGAAGCUGGAAUCCCUAGUACCCGCGUGUCAUCAUCGCGCGGCGAAUACGUCCCUGCUCCUUGCACACACCGCCCGUCACUCCA
rnacentral:rRNA from 1 species